GGCGGGUUGCCCGAGUGGCCAAAGGGAGCGGACUGUAAAUCCGCCGGCAUCGCCUUCCAAGGUUCGAAUCCUUGACCCGCCA
rnacentral:tRNA from 1 species